UUAUUGGUUUUUUAAAAAGAUUUAUUUAUUUACACAAGAACCGGGACACAAGCCAGACUCGCGGGAGGGUGAGAGGACUCACCAGAGACAGAGCGGGGAGCAGAACAGGCAGACUGAUGAAAUACACUGCUGAGAGGAGCAGCAGGCGCCACAGGAGAGGUCUGCUGCGCCAUGUGGGACCCUCGCCCUUCAGCCGGGAGAGAACUGGUGCUGCAGAGGCUGCGGACAGCUUCACAGCACUGUGCUCAACCGCCUGCACCACCAGAGGAGGCCCUGAAAAGGGCCCACCAGCUAUGAGCAGAUCAUGGUGACAGCGGCCAUUUUGCUUCCACGGUUCAUCUGCGAUCAAAUAGGAGCAGCCGCAA